rnacentral:rRNA from 1 species
AUUAAACGCUGGCGGCAUGCCUUACACAUGCAAGUCGAACGGCAGCACGGGGGCAACCCUGGUGGCGAGUGGCGGACGGGUGAGUAAAGCAUCGGAACGUAUCCUGGAGUGGGGGGAUAACGUAGCGAAAGUUACGCUAAUACCGCAUAUUCUGUGAGCAGGAAAGCAGGGGAUCGCAAGACCUUGCGCUCUGGGAGCGGCCGAUGUCGGAUUAGCUAGUUGGUGGGGUAAAGGCCUACCAAGGCGACGAUCCGUAGCGGGUCUGAGAGGAUGAUCCGCCACACUGGGACUGAGACACGGCCCAGACUCCUACGGGAGGCAGCAGUGGGGAAUUUUGGACAAUGGGCGCAAGCCUGAUCCAGCCAUGCCGCGUGAGUGAAGAAGGCCUGGUGUAAGCUCUUCGCGGGAGGAAAUUAGCACGGGUUAAUACCUUGUGUAGAUGACGGUACCCGCGACUAAGAAGCACCGGCUAACUACGUGCCAGCAGCCGCGGUAAU